UUGCGUCUACCAUGAUUUCGAUGAUUGGCAAGGGAAAGUCAUUUUUUGGGCAAGCAUCGUUGAGGUCGUGGAAAUCUACGUAAACACGUAUUUGUCCAGAUUUCUUAAGGACAAUGACGAUGUUGGAGAUCCAUUUAGGGUAUUGCACCAUAAAGUCUGGUUCAAUUAGCUUGUCAAUCUUGGCCUCAAUUUAUGGGAUGAGCUCAGAUCAAUAACGUCUUUGAGUUUGCUUUGUCGGUUGCUUUUCAGGCUUGACUACAAGACGAUGCACGACAAUGGUAAGGUCAAGGCCGAGCAUUUCUUUGUAGGUCCAAGUAAAGACGUAUUUGUACUCCAUUAGCAGUUGGUAGUACUC
rnacentral:lncRNA from 1 species